rnacentral:rRNA from 1 species
AAUAGAUACCCCGGUAGUCCACGCCGUAAACUAUGGAUACUAGGUGUCCGGAUGUUAACCUUCUGGGUACCGUAGCUCACGCAUUAAGUAUCCCGCCUGGGGAGUACGGUCGCAAGACUAAAACUCAAAGGAAUUGACGGGGGCCCGCACAAGCAGUGGAGUAUGUGGUUUAAUUCGAAGCAACGCGCAGAACCUUACCUGGGCUUAACAUCCCCUGACAGCGGCAGAGAUGUCGUGUUCCCUUCGGGGACAGGGAGAUAGGUGCUGCAUGGCUGUCGUCAGCUCGUGUCGUAAGAUGUUGGGUUAAGUCCCGCAACGAGCGCAACCCUUGUUCUUAGUUGCUACCAUUAAGUUGGGCACUCUGAGAAGACUGCCGGUGUUAAACCGGAGGAAGGCGGGAUGACGUCAAGUCCUCAUGGCCCUUACGUCCAGGGCUACACACGUACUACAAUGGCAGAGACAAAGCGUCGCGAAGCCGCGAGGUGGAGCUAAUCGCAAAAACNCUGUCUCAGUCCGGAUUGAAGUCUGCAACUCGACUUC